AAUCCCGGAAACUGAAAGCAGCGGAUCCAUCAGGCUCUUUAUCGUUAAGAGCAAUACAACAUGACAGUGAAGGACGAUAUGUUUGCGAAGCGAAUAACAUUGGUGGCAAGAAAACAAUCACUUACGAAAUAAAAGUUCUCGAACCGCCUGU